UACGUAGGGUGCGAGCGUUGUCCGGAAUUACUGGGCGUAAAGAGCUCGUAGGCGGCUUGUCGCGUUGUUCGUGAAAAUUUACCGCUCAACGGUGAACUUGCGGGCGAUACGGGCAGGCUAGAGUACUGCAGGGGAGACUGGAAUUCCUGGUGUAGCGGUGAAAUGCGCAGAUAUCAGGAGGAACACCGGUGGCGAAGGCGGGUCUCUGGGCAGUAACUGACGCCGAGGAGCGAAAGCGUGGGGAGCGAACAGG
rnacentral:rRNA from 1 species